rnacentral:rRNA from 1 species
GACGAACGCUGGCGGCGUGCUUAACACAUGCAAGUCGAACGGAAAGGCCCUGCUUUUGUGGGGUGCUCGAGUGGCGAACGGGUGAGUAACACGUGAGUAACCUGCCCUUGACUUUGGGAUAACUUCAGGAAACUGGGGCUAAUACCGGAUAGGAGCUCCUGCUGCAUGGUGGGGGUUGGAAAGUUUCGGCGGUUGGGGAUGGACUCGCGGCUUAUCAGCUUGUUGGUGGGGUAGUGGCUUACCAUGGCUUUGACGGCUAGCCGGCCUGAGAUGGUGACCGGCCACAUUGGGACUGAGAUACGGCCCAGACUCCGACGGGAGGCAGCAGUGGGGAAUAUUGCACAAGGGGCGGAAGCCUGAUGCAGCAACGCCGCGUGCGGGAUGACGGCCUUCGGGUUGUAAACCGCUUUCGCCUGUGACGAAGCGUGAGUGACGGUAAUGGGUAAAGAAGCACCGGCUAACUACGUG